CUUUGAUGUGAGCAAGGACAAGGUGCAGUGAUGACAGGCAGGUCCAUCACAUCAGAGCCCGGGAACAGAAGUAUCUUCACUGAACUGGUGCCUGACAAUCUGAAAUCAAAGAGAACAAGGGAAAGGGGACAGCAGCAUAGGCAAAUUUACAAGCUCUUCAUAUUCACCAUAGUCCAGAGCCAGAGAAGACCAAGCUGGAUCCCCAAACUUCCUACACUGAUAACUUCUACCAAAGUUUGUGUGGAUGCCUGCGAGCCAUACCAUCUACUGAAGGGGACAGCUGGGGCUGUGGAGAUCUGUGGAGCUGGAACAAGAGGCACUAGAUCAGCAUCCUGUAUUUGUAGUGAAAAAAUGUGCUUCAGAGAAACUGUAAAUCAUGUAGAAGAUGGUGCAACAUUUGGUAAGGUAAACUCAUUCAAAUUGUAUCUAAAUAUAGUCCUGUGUAAACCGUAG
rnacentral:lncRNA from 1 species